CCUGACCCUUGGAACACCCACAUCUGGAAAGGGGCUAACGGCACCCCCACCAAGAAGAGAGCAAUUGGCUUUAAAAAAUUAGCUAAAGCAGUCAAGUUCUCUGCGAAGCUGAUGGGACAAGCAAUGGCGAAGCGGGUCAAAGCAACCAUCCUCUACGCCACAGAAACGGGGAAAUCCCAGGUCUAUGCAAAAACUCUUUGUGAAAUCUUCAAGCAUGCCUUUGAUGCCAAGGUGACGUCAAUGGAUGAGUACGACAUCGUUCACCUGGAACAUGAAACCUUAGUUCUGGUGGUCACGAGCACCUUCGGCAACGGGGACCCUCCAGAGAAU